GUGAAAUGCGUAGAGAUCGGGAGGAAUACCAGUGGCGAAGGCGGCCUUCUGGACUGACACUGACACUGAGGUGCGAAAGCGUGGGUAGCAAACAGGAUUAGAUACCCUGGUAGUCCACGCCGUAAACGAUGUCGACCAGCCGUUGGGUGCCUAGCGCACUUUGUGGCGAAGUUAACGCGAUAAGUCGACCGCCUGGGGAGUACGGCCGCAAGGUUAAAACUCAAAUGAAUUGACGGGGGCCCGCACAAGCGGUGGAGCAUGUGGUUUAAUUCGAUGCAACGCGAAGAACCUUACCUACUCUUGACAUCCUGCGAAUUCGGUAGAGAUACCUUAGUGCCUUCGGGAGCGCAGAGACAGGUGCUGCAUGGCUGUCGUCAGCUCGUGUUGUGAAAUGUUGGGUUAAGUCCCGUAACGAGCGCAACCCUUGUCCUUAUUUGCCAGCACGUAAUGGUGGGAACUCUAAGGAGACUGCCGGUGACAAACCGGAGGAAGGUGGGGACGACGUCAAGUCAUCAUGGCCCUUACGAGUAGGGCUACACACGUGCUACAAUGGCCGGUACAAAGGGCGGCCAACUUGCGAGAGUGAGCGAAUCCCAAAAAGUGCGUCGUAGUCCGGAUUGGAGUCUGCAACUCGACUCCAUGAAGUCGGAAUCGCUAGUAAUCGUGGAUCAGAAUGCCACGGUGAAUACGUUCCCGGGCCUUGUACACACCGCCCGU
rnacentral:rRNA from 1 species